AGGACGACGACGUGGCUGAGCGAGAAGGCCAGCGCCACGGUGUAGAUGCCCAGCGCGGCGAGGUACUUGCCCAGCACGACCUCGACGUCGCGCGCCGGCAGCGUCAGCAGGAGUUCCUCGGUCCCCUGCCGCCGUUCCUCGGCCCAGACGCUCAUGGUGAUCGCCGGGAUGAAGAACGCAG
rnacentral:misc_RNA from 1 species